CCAAUACUUUUAGAGUCAAGUUACAUAAGAUCAAGAACUGUCUAUGGAUUUGGUAAUUAGGACCUUAUCAAGAGCAAUUUUAGAUAAGGAAUAAAAUGAAAAACUACAGUGGCUUCUGGUGUCAGACAAGGUACUGAGGAAAUGGUAACAGAAAGAAAUGACAACUCAUCCACCUCAUAAAGUACUUACUGAACUGACCAAAUACAUAAUAAGACCUGUGAACCCUGGGGAUAACACGGUGUAACUGGCUCUUCGGACUUGCGUAGAACACAUGGUCAUAUUUCUCAUAAUGUGUCUGUCAACUAAUGGAAACAACUGCUGGGAUUUAGAAGCCUCUUACUUAAAUCGACUAUGAUAGACUGCUAAAACCACGUCUCAAUGUUGCUAAUAAAUGUCUGAAGAUAA